rnacentral:rRNA from 1 species
AGUGAACGCUGGCGGUAGGCCUAACACAUGCAAGUCGAACGGCAGCACAGUAAGAGCUUGCUCUUACGGGUGGCGAGUGGCGGACGGGUGAGGAAUACAUCGGAAUCUACCUUUUCGUGGGGGAUAACGUAGGGAAACUUACGCUAAUACCGCAUACGACCUACGGGUGAAAGCAGGGGAUCUUCGGACCUUGCGCGAUUGAAUGAGCCGAUGUCGGAUUAGCUAGUUGGCGGGGUAAAGGCCCACCAAGGCGACGAUCCGUAGCUGGUCUGAGAGGAUGAUCAGCCACACUGGAACUGAGACACGGUCCAGACUCCUACGGGAGGCAGCAGUGGGGAAUAUUGGACAAUGGGCGCAAGCCUGAUCCAGCCAUACCGCGUGGGUGAAGAAGGCCUUCGGGUUGUAAAGCCCUUUUGUUGGGAAAGAAAAGCAGCAGGUUAAUACCCCGCUGUUCUGACGGUACCCAAAGAAUAAGCACCGGCUAACCUCGUG